UGUCAUAAAUAUGAUUUAUUUUAAACAUUUGUAUGUUUUGUUAGUAUUGUAGUAUAAAGUCCCAAGUAUUUUACUAAUAAUUGAAGCAAUUAUGGUUUUUACGAAUGAAGAAAAGCGAGAUAUAAUUAAAAUUUAUUAUAAAUACGAUAGAAAUGCCAUUAGAACGUCAGAAAUAUAUUUGCUGAUAUAUCCUGAGCGACAGCAACCUCACCAUACUUUAUUUAAAGCUUUGGAUCAAAAUCUUGAUAUGCUUAAUUAUUUUAAGAAGUGUAAACGCAAAUAUAGAGAUAGAACGGGUGAAGAAACUAAAGAAAAGUUACUUAAUGAGAUAAACAUGAACCCAGAGAAAUCUACACGACAAGUUUCCCAAAAUAUUUCCACUCAUAAAAGUGUUUGGAGACAACUUAAAAAAUGUGGAUUAAAGCCAUUUAAAAUUCAUUUAGCUCAAAAACUGCAUCCUGGUGAUGUUAAAAGACGAUUGGUUUUUUGUAACUGGUUAGCACAAAAAAUUACUGAUAAGCCCAAUUUUGUUGAGAAUAUUAUAUGGACCGAUAAAAGUACAUUUAGAACCAAUGGCAUUUUUAAACGCCAAAAGGAAUUAAUGAACAUAAAAAACAAUAAAUCAUACAUAAAAAACAAUGAUUUUCAAAAAUCCAAAAUUACACAACAUGCAUUUGACAAUAACCAUAGAGUAAACUGAAAUGCUUCCUCAAUUUAUUAAUUACGUAAAUUAAAGGAAAGGAACCGCUUUCAAAAUUACGUAAACUUGCAAACUUACGGAAUUUUAAAAUUACGCAAAUUAAAGAAAAGUGCAAGUAAAUAACUCAAGUUUAAAGUUAUUUUACAGAAAGGUUUAAUGACAAGGUGGAAAUAAUGGUCCUGUAAGAUGACCGGCAAGGCUCCUGAUUUAGAUGUUUUAGAUACAUUUUUAUGGGGAACAAUAAAAAAGCGAGUUUAUGCCAGAGGGGACUUUCAGAAUAUUGAGGAGAAGCGGUUAACUAAUAUAAAUCGAGAAAUAGAUCGCGCGGUGCUCAAUAUUCGUAAGAGAGUGCAAUUCUGUGUGCACAGGGACAACAAUUUGAGCACUUAAUAUAAUUUUAUUUUAGGAUAAAUGUUUUUUGUUGUUAAAUUUAUUGUUUAUUUAUUUAUUUUACCAACGCGUGUUAAACCCAAUACGAAAUGUUUAAUAAAUUGUUAAUAAAG